rnacentral:rRNA from 1 species
GUGGGGAAUCUUGCGCAAUGGGCGAAAGCCUGACGCAGCCAUGCCGCGUGAAUGAUGAAGGUCUUAGGAUUGUAAAAUUCUUUCACCGGGGACGAUAAUGACGGUACCCGGAGAAGAAGCCCCGGCUAACUUCGUGCCAGCAGCCGCGGUAAUACGAAGGGGGCUAGCGUUGCUCGGAAUUACUGGGCGUAAAGGGCGCGUAGGCGGACAGUUUAGUCAGAGGUGAAAGCCCAGGGCUCAACCUUGGAAUUGCCUUUGAUACUGGCUGUCUUGAGUACGGGAGAGGUGAGUGGAACUCCGGGUGUAGAGGUGAAAUUCGUAGAUAUUCGGAAGAACACCAGUGGCGAAGGCGACUCACUGGCCCGUUACUGACGCUGAGGCGCGAAAGCGUGGGGAGCAAACAGGAUUAGAUACCCUGGUAGUCC